rnacentral:lncRNA from 1 species
GGAGAAUCAGGAGGGGUCUUCUGUUUUCCCUAGAAUAGUUUACAGUGAAAAUGUAUUUAGGUUGUAUAUCUAUAAUUAAAUAUAGAAUUUUGACAGAAUUUAUCUCCCCUAACAGAAUUUUAAAUAGCGAAGUUUUUACUAACAUAAACAUGCAUUUAUAAAGAAUUCAUUCCAUGGAGGAGAAUGAGAGAUGUUAAUAAGUACAAACAAAUUAAUUAGAAAGAAUGAAUAAGACCUAGUAUUUGAAAGCACAACGGGACGACUAUAGGCAAUAAUAAUUGUACAUUUAAAAAUAACUAAAAGGGUGUAAUUGGAUUUUUGUAACAUAAGGGAUAAGUGCCUAGGGGGAUGGAUACCUCAUUUUCUGUGACAUGAUUAUUAUGCAUUGCAUGCCUGUGUCAAGACAUCUCAUGUACCCCAUAAAUAUAUAUGUCUACUAUGUACCCACA